AUGGAUAUCCCUAGCUCAUUAAUUUCUUCCAUACUCAUGUCUAUGGUUGCGUCCAAUAUUACCAUCACCCCAGAAUCUGUUGCACAUAAAGCCUCCACCAUGGCAGACCACCUUCAAGUUCAGCAGAAACAGUUGGUACUACCGCCGGGGUUUAGGUUCCACCCGACGGAUGAGGAGAUCAUCAAAUUCUAUGUGGUCCCUAAGGUGCUCGAUGAAGCCUUCGUUGCCGCGGCGAUUGAGGAUGUGAACCUCAACAAGUACGAGCCAUGGGAGCUACCAGAGAAGGCGAAGAUGGGGGAGAAGGAGUGGUACUUUUACUCCCGAAAGGAUCGCAAGUACCCCACUGGGAUACGAACGAACCGGGCGACGGAGACCGGCUAUUGGAAGGCCACCGGAAAGGACAAGGAGAUCUUCCAGCCACCUUUCAAACUCAUCGGCAUGAAGAAGACACUCGUCUUCUACAAGGGUCGGGCGCCUAGGGGGGAGAAGACCAAUUGGAUCAUGCAUGAGUAUAGGCUCGAGAGCAGCAAGAAGCUGACAUCCAACCCAUCCAUCACCACCCGCACCGUCACCAGAACCAACAUGGCUUCCAAGGAACAGUGGGUGGUUUGCAGGAUCUUCCAUAAGAGCACCGGACUAAAGAAGAUGGUGACACCGUCAUAUGACAUGCCAAUGUACACAGGAGCAGAACAUCAGCAGGGCUUUGUCGACUUAGAUACAUUGCCUCCUCUCAUGGAAUAUGACAUGUCGUCAACAUGUGCGCAUGCACCGCUGUUUCCUGGAGCUUCUUCAUACAAGUCGCACGAUGUCGGAACUGGCUCAUCGAUGAUGGGCAGUGUGGCGCUUCCUAUUAUGAAUUACCACUACAUCGGGAACAACCACCAGCACCAAAUGAUGGUCAACCCAACACUGCCUCUGUCGCUCUACCAACACCAACAACAACAUCAACAGAUGAUGAUGCAUAUUGGUGCAGAUCAGGGUCUCAUGGUCGGGGCUCAACCUGGAGGUGGGUUGGCGUCGAUGCUGUCACAGGAGGAUGUUGUGGCCGGGCUAAGGAACAACUACCCAGGGAACACCGCUGCAACAGCAGUUGGCGAGACCUCAUUGAUGAACAUGGGUAUGGAUGACAUUUGGCAGAAUUGA
rnacentral:rRNA from 1 species